GCAAUAGCUUGGUUGGUAGAGCAUGAGGCUCUUAAUCUCAGGGUUGUGGGUUCAAGCCCCACGUUGGGCA